UACAGAGGGUGCAAGCGUUAAUCGGAAUUACUGGGCGUAAAGCGUGCGUAGUCGGUUAUCUAAGUCGGGUGUGAAAUCCCCGGGCUCAACCCGGGAACUGCGUCCGAUACUGGCAGGCUUGAAUCCGGGAGAGGGAUGCGGAAUUCCAGGUGUAGCGGUGAAAUGCGUAGAUAUCUGGAGGAACACCGGUGGCGAAGGCGGCAUCCUGGACCGGUAUUGACGCUGAGGCGCGAAAGCGUGGGGAGCAAACAGG
rnacentral:rRNA from 1 species